UACAGAGGUCCCAAGCGUUGUUCGGAUUCAUUGGGCGUAAAGGGUGCGUAGGCGGCGCGGUAAGUCGGGUGUGAAAUCUCGGAGCUUAACUCCGAAACUGCAUUCGAUACUGCCGUGCUUGAGGACUGGAGAGGAGACUGGAAUUUACGGUGUAGCGGUGAAAUGCGCAGAUAUCAGGAGGAACACCGGUGGCGAAGGCGGGUCUCUGGGCCACUACUGACGCUGAGGAGCGAAAGCGUGGGGAGCAAACAGG
rnacentral:rRNA from 1 species